rnacentral:tRNA from 6 species
GCGCUCGUAGCCCAAUUGGAUAGAGCUACGGACUUCGGAUCCGAUGGUUGAGGGUUCAAGUCCCUCCGAGCGCACCA